CAAAGAGUCCAGAGAUUGUGGCCAGGAUAGAAAGGAAUGCCCUAUAUGUUGUGGCUGCUUUCCAUCAGAUGAAAUUGUUCUGCAUGCAAGCCUGUGUGGGGAAAGUCUACAGGGCAUGUUGAACUACAGUACAGACAGCUGUGUGCUACGCGAGGGAAGCG